rnacentral:lncRNA from 1 species
UUAUUCUAAGAGUGGAUAUUGUCUAGAAGACAAUAUUUGUAUUUAAACUCACAGCUCUCUUGUUGUAUAAUUAAGAUUGUAUUUUUAUUUUGUACCAUGUAUUUGGCGACUCAGAAUAGGUGAUGUAUUCCUAUUUUGGGGGCGUCACACAAUUGAUUUGAAAAUAGAACGUACCUUGAGAUCUGGUGCGAUUUUGGCUGCAAGGAAAAGGAAAUCUAGGGAUAUCUUUUACCUUUUCGUACAAAAUGGUUUGUGAGUUUCUG